rnacentral:tRNA from 1 species
GCGGGAUUCGUAUAACGGUUAAUAUGUAAGUUUUCCAAACUUAAGACGGGGUUUCGACUACCCCAUCCCGCACCA